CGGUGUUUACUGAAGCCUAAACACAGUAUAAACAGUGCCUAAACACAGUUUAAACCGAGUCUAAACAUAGCAUAAACCGAGUUUCACGCUUAAUGCCAUCAUGAGGCAACUAAAGGAAAGAUGUAAGUUGCUUUGCGUCAAAUUUCAUCCGGGCCCUGCAUUCCAUCACAGUUUCGAUCAGGCACAAAAACAUUUCAUGAAGAGAUCAAGAAAAAGAAACGAUUCUGAAUCAACGAUCAAUCAGGGUUGGCUGCAAUCAAACAAGGGCUCGCUUUGCUCCGGUGGAGCAUUGGUUGAUAAGCAAGUUUCUUGUGGUGUUUUCACAAAGCUGGGUGUCUUGUGGAUGGAUGAAUCCUUAGCUGUUAUUGAAGGCUCUAAUAGAAGGCUGGCCUUUGGAGAGUUGGAUAUCUUUGUGAAGAUUUUCAAGAGAAAUCUCGUGACACCUGCCAAUAUUUAUAACUUGUUGGGGAGACGAGUUAGGGUAAGUCCGUAAGGUGUAGGUCCCCCCCCCCCCCCGUGAAAGGAGUAGGUGCACAUGCGUACUUUGCAUUUCACAACAGAUAGGCAAAGGAGGGAACUUUGAAAAAAUAACAACGUAGUCCAGCAUUGUUCUAGCAGGUUUAAUGCGCGUGCGUACCUACUCCUCGUAGCUAAUUGGUUCGGACAAACCACUUACGCUUUUGUUCUAAACAAUGGAGCCACGAUCUCGUCUCCCCAACAAAACAGUAAAUGUAAUCUGUAGACAUUGUUGCAUUUCAAUAAAAUAGAUUUAGGCCAUACCUUC